rnacentral:tRNA from 1 species
GAGGAUAUAGCUCAAUGGGAGGGCGCAUGCUUGGUAUGCACGAGGUCCUGGGUUCAAUCUCCAGUACCUUCA